UACGGAGGAUGCGAGCGUUAUCCGGAUUUAUUGGGUUUAAAGGGUGCGUAGGCGGGAUGCCAAGUCCGCGGUAAAAAUGCGGUGCUCAACGCCGUCGAGCCGUUGAAACUGGCGUUCUUGAGUGGGCGAGAGGUAUGCGGAAUGCGUGGUGUAGCGGUGAAAUGCAUAGAUAUCACGCAGAACUCCGAUUGCGAAGGCAGCAUACCGGCGCCCUACUGACGCUGAGGCACGAAAGCGUGGGUAUCGAACAGG
rnacentral:rRNA from 1 species